AUGCCAGUCUCGCACCGCGACUUGCAGCUUGACGCCCAGCCCUCCGCCGCCCUACUAGACGGGGAUGUCCCGAGACGGGUGUGGGUGCCGGGGCCGGUGAUCGUCGGCGCGGGGCCGUCCGGGCUGGCGACGGCGGCCUGCCUCAAGGCUCGCGGGGUGCCGUCGCUGGUGCUGGAGCGGGACGCGUGCGUCGCGGCGUCAUGGCGGCACCGCACCUACGAGCGGAUGCGGCUUCACCUGCCGCGGGAAUUCUGCGAGCUCCCCCAUGCGCCUUUCCCGCCGGGCACGCCUCCGUAUCCAACAAGGGACCAGUUCAUCGCCUACCUAGACGGCUACGCGCGAGCCUUCGCCGUGGAACCCCUCCUCGGCGCGCGCGUCCGGGCUGCCGCCUACGACGCCGGCAUCGGCUUCUGGAGGGUCACCGUCGAAGUCUCCUGCGCCGCCGCCGGCAAAGACUCUAUGACAACGACGGCGACGGAGUUCAUGUCGCGCUGGCUCGUAGUGGCCACCGGCGAGAACGCGGAGCCUGUGUGGCCUGACGGUGUGGAGGGAAUGGACGUCUACCGCGGCACGGUGAUGCACACGAGCACCUACAAGAGAGGGGACGAGUUCACGGGAAAGAAGGUGCUCGUUGUUGGCUGCGGCAACUCUGGCAUGGAGGUCAGCCUCGACCUCUGCGACAAUGGCGCAAAGGCAUCCAUGGUUGUCAGGGACAAGCUUCAUGUGUUGCCUAGGGAUAUACUAGGCAUCUCAACAUUUGGCCUCUCAGUAUUCCUUCUCAAGUGGUUGCCCAUGAAAUGGGUUGAUGCCUUGUUCCUCUUCUUCUCGAGGUUGAUACUUGGAGACACUGAAAAAUACGGGCUCCAACGACCUAAGAUUGGCCCGCUCCAAAUCAAGAAAUCAACCGGGAAAACACCAGUGCUUGACAUUGGAGCUUUGAGAAAGAUCGGGGAUGGCGACAUAAAGGUGGUCCCCGCAAUAAACCGGUUCACCGAGAGCGGUGUUGAAUUUGCCGACGGACGUAAGGAGGACUUCGAUGCUGUCAUCCUCGCCACCGGGUACAAAAGCAACGUGCCAUCAUGGCUCAAGGAGGACGAAUUUUUCAGCCAGAGUGAUGGGUUCCCGAGGAUGGCAUUCCCGCACAGCUGGAGAGGCAAGAACGGCCUCUAUGCCACGGGCUUCACAAGGAGGGGUCUCAUGGGUUCCUCCUAUGACGCCUCCAGAAUCGCCGCUGACAUCGCCAACCAGUGGACUGAGGCCCUCGCCAGGAAUAUCACUGCUCACAAUAAUGCUUGA
rnacentral:rRNA from 1 species